AACGCACCUUGCACCCUUUGGUAUUCCAAAGGGUAUGCUCGUUUGAGUGUCAUUGUACUCUCAUACUCUCUGAUCUUAAGAUUGGGAGUGGUGGACUUGGGUGGUUGCUGCUUCACUGUGGCUCACCUGAAAUGCAUUAGUGCAACUCUUGACUAACCAUAGUAUGGCAUGAUAAGCAUCUUUGCCAGCACCUCUCCGGAGGGUGGUCAGUCAAGAGCUCUGUGCUUCUAACUGUCUUUGGACAAUCUUGACAACUUGACCUCAAAUCGAGUAGGACUACCCGCUGAACUUAA
rnacentral:misc_RNA from 1 species